GACGAACGCUGGCGGCGUGCUUAACACAUGCAAGUCGAACGAAGUGGCGAACGGGUGAGUAAUACGUGGGUAACCUGCCCUCCUUUUUGGGAUCAGCCUUGGAAACGGGGUCUAAUACCGAAUUCAGGGGGAUGGGCUCGGGGCUUAUCUGCUUGUUGGUGGGGUGACGGCGUACCACGGCGGUGCCGGGUAGCCGGCCUGAGAGGGUGACCGGCCACAUUGGGACUGAGAGACGGCCCAGACUCCUACGGGAGGCAGCAGUGGGGGAUAUUGCACAAUGGGCGAAAGCCUGAUGCAGCAACGCCGCGUGUGUGAAGAAGGCCUUCGGGUUGUAAAGUACUUUCAGCGGGGAGGCGUUACUCGCAGAAGAAGCACCGGCUAACUCCGUGCCAGCAGCCGCGGUAAUAC
rnacentral:rRNA from 1 species